CGCAGGACCCUGGAUGCAGCGGCGUUCAUGGACAAAGCCACUGGCUAUGGUUUGCUAACAAUAAAGCAGGAUAAUAUUUUGGUGUACCAAAGUUCUUUAUGACACAAAAUAUAACUAAAACAUAUGUUUGUAUUAGCUUCAUCUAAAAUAAUAUAAACCUUGGUUAAUCAAGUUAGGAUUUCUUACAAAUUGUUUUAUCAAAAACAGGAAGGUUACAAGAUCAAAAGAGCAGGAAAGGAUCAAGACAAGACAAUAGUAACAAAGGGACCUACCAAAAAUUAUCAUUGGGUGCCUCGAUAGUGGAACCACUUAAUAAAGAUUUCUGGGUUACAUUAGGUUCAAUAUCAAGUGAUCUAGCUUCGAAGCAGAAGGGACUCAGGUGACAAGCAAUUGGCAACACAAGCAUUUGAUCGUGCUCGAAGCAUUGAUCCCUCAUUUGCCUUGCCAUGGGCUGGAAAUAUCUCUACAGUUGCCAGUGGACCUGUGAGUUACAAAUGGCUGGGAGUCCCGGUGGGUGCAAUCUGAUUGUAAAAGGAGUGAAGGGAAAGCUGGAAGGUUAAAGCACACGGCCGGAACAUACUCUGGAGAUUCUGAUGCCAAAGAUUUAUUUUUCAUCCCUCGCACAUUUGUGUUUCAAUUGACUAUGAAUACAAACAACAAUGGAUGCUAGGCAUUUUCCUAUCUCAGCGAAGUUCCCACAAUUCAGUAACGAGAACAGGACACUGGUGGUCCAGUACUCCAUCAAGUUUGAGCAGGAUAUCGAGUGCGGUGGUGGAUAUAUUAAGCUUAUGUCCGGUUAUGUCAACCAGAAAAAUUUAGUGGGGACACUCCAUAUAGUGUCUGAAUAUGAAUUGCAGCCUCUAUUGUUAGAACUGUGGAUUUUGCUGCUGAGGUACAAGAUGUGCUUAGAAAUCUUAGUGGCAACAGGGAAUCAAUGAAGGGAAUAAAGUCAUGGUUUAUGCAGAGGGCAGAGGGUGCUGUUUGUGUCGGCUCUGCCUCAAGUUCUUAAGGAAAGAGUAUUUGCCUUUGAGGAUUCAGAGGGGCAGCUGCACAUUAUUUUCCUGGUGAAUGAUAUUUUGUUUGAAAGGUA